rnacentral:rRNA from 1 species
UACGUAGGGUGCAAGCGUUGUUCGGAAUUAUUGGGCGUAAAGAGCUCGUAGGCGGUUUGUCGCGUCUGCUGUGAAAACUCGGGGCUUAACUCCGGGCCUGCAGUGGGUACGGGCAGACUAGAGUGCGGUAGGGGAGACUGGAAUUCCUGGUGUAGCGGUGAAAUGCGCAGAUAUCAGGAGGAACACCGGUGGCGAAGGCGGCUCUCUGGACGGUGACUGACGCUGAGACGCGAAAGCGUGGGGAGCAAACAGG